rnacentral:rRNA from 1 species
CAUCCAGAGAAUUUAGCAGAGAUGCUUUAGUGCCUUCGGGAACUCUGAGACAGGUGCUGCAUGGCUGUCGUCAGCUCGUGUUGUGAAAUGUUGGGUUAAGUCCCGCAACGAGCGCAACCCUUAUCCUUUGUGCCAGCACGUAAUGGUGGGAACUCAAAGGAGACUGCCGGUGAUAAACCGGAGGAAGGUGGGGAUGACGUCAAGUCAUCAUGGCCCUUACGAGUAGGGCUACACACGUGCUACAAUGGCGCAUACAAAGAGAAGCGACCUCGCGAGAGCAAGCGGACCUCAUAAAGUGCGUCGUAGUCCGGAUUGGAGUCUGCAACUCGACUCCAUGAAGUCGGAAUCGCUAGUAAUCGUAAAUCAGAAUGUUACGGUGAAUACGUUCCCGGGCCUUGUACACACCGCCCGUCACACCAUGGGAGUGGGUUGCAAAAGAAGUAGAUAGCUUAACCUUCGGGAGGGCGUUUACCACUUUGUGAUUCAUGACUGGGGUGAAGUCGUAACAAGGUAAGCGUAGUGCU